CGCCUUUCGAUAAAUUAAUAUGAAAGGUCCUGCCUGCCCAGUGAUACAUAAACGGCCGCGGUAUUAUGACCGUGCAAAGGUAGCAUAAUCACUUGUCUUUUAAAUUAGGACUAGCAUGAAUGGCAAAACGAAAGCCUAACUGUCUCCUUGAACUAGUCAAUGAAAUUGAUCUUCUCGUGCAGAAGCGAGAAUACAAUUAUAAGACGAGAAGACCCUGUGGAGCUUAAAAAUAAAAUUAUAUAGAUACCUAUAAUAAUAUUAAAUUUAGGUUGGGGCGACCAUGAGGCAAAAUAUAACCCUCAAGAAAACAAUUAGAAGGACACUUCAAAUAAAAUAAAACUUAUACAUUGACCCAAUAAUGAUCAACGAACCAAGUUACCCCAGGGAUAACAGCGCAAUCCAUUCCCAAAGCCCAUAUAGACGAAUGGGUUUACGACCUCGAUGUUGGAUCAGGACCCCCAAAUGGUGCAACAACUAUUAAAGGUUCGUUUGUUCAACGAUUAAAGUCCU
rnacentral:rRNA from 1 species